CUGUUUAGUGUUCUUAAUAAUUUUUUUCUGCAUCUUUAGUAAGAAGACAAUUUAUAGCUGAUCUGAGAGUCGAAAUUUCUCACCAUAAAGUAGGCAAUGGGGAGCUAAUAUAAGCUUUUUCUUUAUUUGACAAUUUAUCCUCUAACGACUUAUGUUUCUCUAGUUUUUGGCACCUCUUAGUUGUAAAGUAUGAUAUAAUCAGCCCUCUUGCAUAAGCUUUGCAAGUUUCCCAUAAGAUUUAAGGAUUCCUUGAUGAUGGUAAGUUAAUGGAUAAAAAUGCCUUAAAUUCAGUGGAGAAGUAAGAUGUAAGUAUCAUCCUUAAGAAUAACAGUGUUAAGUCUAAACCGGCAGGAUUGAUUUAUUGACACUUUAAGUUUAAACCUCUUCUAAAAAAGCCCACCCUGGAUCCAGAGGUGUUAGCCAACUAUUUCUAACAAUUUCUAAUCUUCCCUUUCUUUCUAAGAUCCUUGAGAAAGUAGUCGCAGACCAGCUGUGUGAUUUUCUCCAUGAUAAUAAUUUAUUUGAAGAAUUUCAGUCAGGAUUUAGAAUGCAUCAUAGCACUGAGACAGCACUAGUUAAAAUUACAAAUGACCUUCUGAUUGCUUCAGACAAAGGACCCAUCUCUGUACUUGUUUUAUUAGAUCUUAGUGCGGUAUUUGACACAAUUGACCAUCAAAUUCUGCUACAGAGACUGGAACAUUAAAUUGGCCUUAAAGAUUCUGCACUAAACUGGUUUAAAUCUUAUUUAUCUGAUCGUUUUCAGUUUGUUCAUGUUCAUGAUGAAUCAUCUCUAAAUACUAAAGUUUGUUUUGGAGUUCCACAAGGUUCUGUGCUCGGCAGCAUUGCCAGGUGUACGAUAAUUAUCGUAUUUGUACGAUAAUUUGGCCCUCUGUACGAUGUACAAUCAAUAAUCCCAAAAAAGGCCAAAUGUAUGAUAAUUUGACCAUUUCAUGAAUGUGUGGUUGUAAUCAGUAUGCCAGAGUUUUUUUUGUGAGCCCUGAAGGCAUCUGUUCCCAUGUGACAUGUUUCCAGCCAAUCGCACUUUGCUUAGCAUCAGAGCGAUAGAUAAGAACAGAGUGGCGACACUCCCAUAGGACUCCGUUGUAAAACGUAGCGGACAGACCUUCUGGGAUAUGGAGCCCUCUAUAGUUCCAAACAUUACUCCAGUGGCGUCGGACCCCAUUUAUUUCAAUGGCCGCAUGGCGAGAAACUCCUGAGGUAAGGUGAUGAAAUAUCAACCAAUUUUAAGUCAUUACGUGUGUUUAUUAUAUCAGAGGUCCUUUAUUACGUAGAUAUCAAUUUUUUUUGUAUGUUCACAAUGUAAUUGUGUUUUUUUUGAGUCAGGAAUUAUGAUCGAUUUUCAGCCAUCGCCUGCUAGUUUGUUAGCUCGACGUCACCAGCUGUGGAGGUUUAGCACCGUUUAGCACCUGACAUUUGUGGUGUUCCUGUUUGAUUAAUGAAUCACAGACAAAUCACAUAUAGUUGGGAUGAUUACUAAUGGGUUUUAUUUAGAUUUUAUCAUCCGAACCUGACGGUGUUAGCUAAGGGUAACGUUAAUAGGAUGUGUUAGCUUUUAUUAGUUUUCUCAACUGUUCCAUAAGAAGAUAAUGUAGGCAAGGUGCACAUACUUCUGCCUGAGGCUUUAUCAAAUACCUAACGUUAUGUACUGUGUAUUCUUUUUAUGUUUACAUAAGAGUGUUGUUAUCUUAUAAUUUGUGCUAUGUGAUGACAAACUAAAAUAGGACUACCACUUCACUACUACUACUAUUUCUGUCAGCAUUUAAGGCAUAUAUUAUGUUUAACUUGGAAAUAUGUCAGUCACACUAUAGAGGCUAGACAGCUUAAAAAUGCUGUUUCAGCUUGUCUUUGAAUGUUACAUUCAUAAACUUAAUCGUACAAGACCAAAACAUUGCACAGUGGUUUAAACACUAUGGGAAUAUAUCACAACACCUGUUACCACUGAAUUAAUGAUAUUAUUUACCUCUGAUUUAAAAAUAUUACAUGUUUAUAUGGAACGUUGAGUUUAAUUAUUUUAAAUUGUGUCGUUUAGGUGAUCCUGAAAGAGCCCUGUGAAGUUUCUGCUGUCAAAAGACUCCACAAGUGAGGGUUUGCUGUUCCUCAAGCUAUGCCUUUUCCAGCUCCAGGGAUGGGAACAAAGUGACCACCCUUUGCUGAGUCACUUUUUGAUUUGAAAGCAUAUGUCAUCAUCUGCAUGUCUUGCUUAUCUUUUAUCAGAGUACAGUGGGUGUAUUUGAAUGUGUGUGUCUCUCUGACAGGUCCCAGGUUAUUCAUGAUGGCCUUGAACAUGUAACCCAGGGUACAAAUGCCUGCACAGUGAUGUCAUCCUCUUGGGUUUCUCGCGAGAUUGCGCGGGCCAAUCAGGGCAGCCCUACGGCUGUAUACGGCAGUAGCAGCAGCAGCAGCAGGUAGAGUCAGACUGUGAGAGAGAGAGCGAGCGUGUGUGCAGCGGCGAGUAUCUGUGGCGUGCAGCCGACAGACAGAGCUUGAUGUGUCCACGGCCGCCGCCGCCGCCGCCGCCGGGUUGAGUGACUGUGUGCUUGAGAAUGAACAGCGGAAUUGGCCAGGUUUUCCUGGGAUAUUGAUGGCGAGCUAGCAACCAGAAGAAUCCAGAGAGGGAACGGGUCUGCCUGUGUGGUGGAACGCCAGUGACAGCACCGUGUGCUCUUUCCCCGGUCAUCCCACACAUACAUCCUCACACACUACCUCACCAGCCCAAUCCCUUCCUCUCCCCCUUGCCCGGACUAUUCAUACCCAAUUCAUCUCACACAGACUCUCUCACUCUUCUUGGGGGAUAAGAUGGGAUAUUUGGGACUGGGGCAGCAACCAGCCGCAGUGUUUUGAUGUUGAAUGUUGAGUGUUGGUUACCAUUCUGUGGGUUUGACGAAUGCAUGUGGAUUCAUUGAAGUAUUUUUUUUUGGGGGGGGGGAAUAACCUUUCUCUUGGUUAUCUGUUAGAAGGUGCACUGAUCUAGACAUAGUCUACCUGAACUAUCUAUUUAAAGCUUGUGGCCAAUUGUAUAUUCUGUAAAUUAACUACUGUGUCCACUGUGUAUAAUACACUUUCAAAAGCAACCUGACUUUGGUUUUCAUUUUUAUUCUGUACCGCAGAAUAAUUCAGUCCUCCCAGCCUUCUACUUCUGACCAGUUUAAUCAUCUUUUCACCUUAGCAUUUGCUACAAACAUCUUCAGUGUGCAUCUCUCCACCACCUACUGCAGUGUGUCCAACCUGACUCCAAUCACUGAGCCAGCUCUUUGAACUAGUUUGUCCAGCCGCCUUGCAUCUUUGUGUCUGAUGCUUCCUCCCCAGCAGACUACAGUAUAAAACAACACGCUUGACACCACAGACUUAUAAAACAUCUGCAGCAUCUUACUACAGAUGUCAUGAGAUCUGGGAUGGAAAGUGAACAAUAUUUUUGUAAUGGCAGAAUAUGUUGAGAAUGGGUUGUCCUAAGUGUGUGUUGCUCCACGCUUGAACUGGAAGUUCUUCUGCUCCACCAUAUUGAGAGACUGUCUCAAGUCUCUUGUCCUCCUUUGUAUAAUGACAACCUGAUGUCAGGCAGUGGAAUCUGCAUUUGAAGAGUUGUGUACAUAGUUGUGCAUGCAGUAAAUCUCAUAUGGCUUUUUUUUUUAACCAUUUCAUAGCCCCACCUUUGUUCUGCUGUCCUAAUGCUGGAAUAUGGUCUCUGUUAAAUAAAACUGUUAUUCCUUAAUGCCAAAUUUAUCAUUUUCUGUGAUGUUCUCACAGAAGCACACUUGCUCAUAUUGUCACAUUCAUCAUUUAAAUACAUAAAAUGUUUAACUGAAAACCAUCAUUUAUCAUCAUUGUCCAAUGUCAGGGAGUAUUCACAAAUAGCCUACAUUAAUCUCAUGUAGCUACAUAAGAGAUGCAUUGCACCAGAUUACAGUUUAGUUGCUAAUUUAUCUGCAGUCCAUGAAGCUAACACAAAGCUUUCCCUCCAAAAAAAAAACACACAGAAAAACUUGUCUAAUGGAUUUCCAGUAGCCGCGUUAGACGGAA